AACAAAAUAGAUGAUAUACCUUUAAAUUUUAAAAAAAUUUUAUUAAAUUUAUUAAACUUACUUGAAUCAAAGUUAUCAAUCUUUAUUAUUAAUCUAAUUAAAUAAUUGGAACAUGAUCUAUUGAAAAACUUUUAGUUUUAAAUCUAUACAUAAAAAACAUAGAAUGAAUCUUGAUAUCACUAGGUAUCGAGAUUCACGAAGAAAGAGAAACGUUUAAUAAAUAAAAAAAAAAAAAAAAAAGCAGACAAAUAAAAGCUUAUGUGCGCAUACUUAUAUUAUAAUAAUUGUGAUAGUGUAUAACUAUGUAAUGUGUGCGCAAGGAAAAGUAUCGGUAAGAGAAAAGAUUCAAACAUGGUAAAAAAAAUAAGGGAUUUGUAGUUGUAUAAUAUUAAUACUGUAAAAAAUAAACUAUUGCUAAUGUUUGUAUUCUUUAAAAUUUUAAACUAGAUUUCUUUCAAAAAUCUAUCAAAUCUUGUUCUUAAAAGAACAUAUUUUAUUUGAUUCAAAUUGAAUUGAGUAGAAAUGCAAAGGUUAAGGAAUUAAUAUUAAAAAUAAUUCAUAUUAAAAAUAAAGAACAGAAAAAUAAUAGAAAAAAAGAGUAUGAAAAUCUAGAAGGCAGAUAAAAGCAGCAACAAAUAGAUAGCACAUAGAAAGCGAGUAAAAAACAUUGGGUAAAUAAUGAAACAGAACAAUUUAAGGAAGAUAGAGAGAGAAGAGAGAGAAGCAGAAGAAAAACUCCAUGUGUAAACGAUUGCAUGUGUGUUAUAUUGUAUAUGCUUGUGCAAACAUAGAACAAAGACAGUUAUAGGUAGAUAGAUAUAGACAGACAGACAGAUAGCAGUCAGACAGAUAGAUAGAAAUAAGGUAAAGAUUUAGCGAAAGUAAGAAAGAUAGAGCAGAGAGGAGCGCUUACAGCUUGGUCUGUCGAACUCUUGCUGUAGGGUACUGGUAUCAAACGUUCCUGCAACUCGCCACCUAUUACCUUCAAGAGCAAAGGAUAAUAUCAUGGUUAUAACUAGAUGCAACGAGCAGUUAACGCGCUUACUAGUACACCAGUUUUCGAAAUAUCGAUUAAAAAAAAUUUUUUUUACUGUUUCCCAUUUAUGGCCCGGUUUGAGUAACACCGCUCUGCCUUUAGGCACUUUUUAACUGAUUUAAAUUAAUCUCUUUGAAUUUUCCUAGAAAAAAGCGCAAUUAUAAUGUUUAACUUCUUAAAAAAUUUUUCUCAAUAAUUUUGUUGUUUCAAAUAUAAAUUAUGCAAGAAAUCAUUGGAAACUGAUCUUAAGAUAGAAAUAAUCUUCAAAAUUCUAAUAUAUUAAUUGUAUUAAAAAACAAAAAUAACUUUAGAACUGAUAAAGCUAAAAAGUGCCUCAUCAUUAAUUAUUAUUGAGAAAGAAGACUAUACUUAAAAAUAAUACCUGCUGUAUAAUAUUAUUUUUUAUGUAAUUCGAAUACGCAGAAUCUGCGGAAUACGAUUGCAUGGAAACAGAACUUAAAAGAUAAUAGAGAUUGGUAAGCAGAAACCGAGAAUAGCUCGUACAUGCAACGCAAGACAUAAUAUCCUUGAUAUUAUACCCUCAUACAAUAUGUUUCAUUUCUCAAUUACUACCGUUCCAUUGGUGAAAUAAAUUCAAUAUAAAUCUUCCCCUUAUCCCCGUUAUUUGUAGUCAAAAUUAACAAACUUGCAAAGUUAAGAUACUUAAUUAAAUAAGUUUCAUUUACCUUUGCAUUUUAAAGUUCUCGAAACGUAAUGAAUUAUAAGAUGCAAAAAGAAAA
rnacentral:lncRNA from 1 species